rnacentral:rRNA from 1 species
AUUGAACGCUGACGGCAGGCCUAACACAUGCAAGUCGAGCGGAUGACGGGAGCUUGCUCCUUGAUUCAGCGGCGGACGGGUGAGUAAUGCCUAGGAAUCUGCCUGGUAGUGGGGGACAACGUUUCGAAAGGAACGCUAAUACCGCAUACGUCCUACGGGAGAAAGCAGGGGACCUGCGGGCCUUGCGCUAUCAGAUGAGCCUAGGUCGGAUUAGCUAGUAGGUGAGGUAAUGGCUCACCUAGGCGACGAUCCGUAACUGGUCUGAGAGGAUGAUCAGUCACACUGGAACUGAGACACGGUCCAGACUCCUACGGGAGGCAGCAGUGGGGAAUAUUGGACAAUGGGCGAAAGCCUGAUCCAGCCAUGCCGCGUGUGUGAAGAAGGUCUUCGGAUUGUAAAGCACUUUAAGUUGGGAGGAAGGGCAGUAAGCUAAUACCUUGCUGUUUUGACGUUACCGACAGAAUAAGCACCGGCUAACUCUGUGCCAGCCGCCGCAGUAAGAC